rnacentral:rRNA from 1 species
UACUUUGGUGGCGACCGGCGCACGGGUGCGUAACGCGUAUGCAACCUACCUUUAACAGGGGCAUAACACUGAGAAAUUGGUACUAAUUCCCCAUAACAUUCGAGAAGGCAUCUUCUUGGGUUAAAAACUCCGGUGGUUAAAGAUGGGCAUGCGUUGUAUUAGCUAGUUGGUGAGGUAACGGCUCACCAAGGCAACGAUACAUAGGGGGACUGAGAGGUUAACCCCCCACAUUGGUACUGAGACACGGUCCAA